rnacentral:rRNA from 1 species
UACAGAGGUGGCAAGCGUUGUUCGGAAUUACUGGGCGUAAAGGGCGCGUAGGCGGCCCACUAAGUCAGACGUGAAAUCCCCCCGGCUUAACCUGGGAACUGCGUCUGAUACUGGAGGGCUUGAGUAUGGGAGAGGGAUGUAGAAUUCCAGGUGUAGCGGUGAAAAUGCGUAGAUAUCUGGAGGAAUACCGGUGGCGAAGGCGGCAUCCUGGACCAUUACUGACGCUGAGGCGCGAAAGCGUGGGGGAGCAAACAGG